GCCGGGUGUGGUGGCUCACGCCUGUAAUCCCAGCACUUUGGGAGGCUGAGGUGGGUGGAUCACUUGAGGCCAGGAGUUUGAGACCAGCCUGGCCAACAUGGUGAAACCUCAUCUCCC
rnacentral:SRP_RNA from 1 species